GAUUAAAAUUCGGUCACAUCAUAUAUCUGAUGUGAUAUAUAUGAUGUGACCGAAUUUUAAUC
rnacentral:miRNA from 1 species